rnacentral:lncRNA from 1 species
GUUUUCCCUCCUCCACAUGCUCCGCGGGUAUCUGUCCCAUUACGAGGCUUUAAGGACCAGUGAAAACCUGAUGACCCCCAAAUCCUUGUAGCCUCGGGUGCUGACACGCCCACAUGCUCCUGUCCCCCCAGACACGCCCCCACCAAGCCUCCCCAAAUUCAGAGCGUGACCAGCUGCUGCCCUCUGCCAGGUGCUCACAGGGGACCUCAGUCAGUGGCCUUUGCUCCCCACCAACCCAAAGCUCCCAUGGACGCUGCCAGCCAGUCCUGGGGCUGCAACUUCCAGACUGUCCAGCCUCUGGUCGCUACCUCCUGGCCUGGCUACCUGACCACCUUGGCUCUUGGGGUUUGUCUCAACUUCAUCUGCCCCAGGCUCCCUGCCUCCGUCGGGCCACCAGACUGUCUCCAAUCACUGUCCUUUUCAAGCCCAAGGCACGUCACAUCAUUCUUCUGCUGAAACCCUCCCAGAAUCUCCUCUCACUCUGAGCAUGCCCAGUGUGACGGCACCGGCUGCCCCUCUCCUCUGCAGUUCUCCUGCAGCCACGGCCUCUCCGCCGCUGGAAUGUCCAGGUCCCCACCUGCCUCGGGCCCCCUGCACCCAUCCACCUCUCCAUGAGGACAUCUCCCUUCAGAAGGCUGCCGGCUCACCCCCUCACCUACCUUCCCGGCUUUGUUGACAUGCCACCUUUUCAACAGAGUGGCACCUGGGGCACUUGUGCCCGCAGCCACUCACCCAUCCCAGCAUCUGUUUCGUGUAUGGCCUGAGACAAGAGCAGGUGUCCUGGACUCUCUGCUUGUCACUGCAUCUGUGCCUAGGACAGCCUGGCGUGUGGCAGAGCCCACAGGCCUCUGCUGAGGGGGUGACGUGUGGAGACGCUGCUGCUUCCUCCGGCAGGCAGCCCCAUGGGGAGGGCCCUGGAGCAAGUCCUCGGGCCCCAGCAUGCUCUCCAGUGUUCUGAGCGGGGGUCCUGGCCCUGUGGUCUGCAUGGUCGGGGACAGGCAUCAAAGUCGGGUCAGCUCACCAGCUGCACCUCUUGACACAUUCUUGCCAGUGGCAGGGCUGGAGCGGGUGGGCAGUCUCAGUCCAUCUCAGACUCAGGCAUGUGGGGCCCUGCUGCUGUGCACACCAUGCCCUCAUGCCCACCUUGCGCGCACACGCAUGUUCAUUGCCUGGUGCUGCCACCGAUGAGAGAGCUGCAGGUUCUCAACCUGCUAACAACUCAUCGCAGCCUGAAAUUGGACUGAACCCCAGCUGGGCUUUCCUGUCAUGGCCACUGUGUCUCACAUCAUAGUUCAGAGGCCAGAGGGCC